GGAGACCUUAUCUGCUGUACACGACAGAACGGGAUAUUAGAAAGUUGUUUUUAGACAGUUCGGCUACUCCAGAAUACGUCCAGAUACCCGGCAUGAGAAACGUUUUAAGCUUGGCCUUUCACUGGAAAAAACAAAUGCUGUUCUUUAGAGAACUGAAAAGCAACGCCAUCUACAGAACAUAUCUGAACAAUACACGGCAAAGGGAGGUUGUUGUGGAUGAUGAUCUCGUCACUCCGGAUUUCUUGGCAGUUGAUUGGAUAGGAGAUAAUCUGUUUUGGACGGGUAUGGGGAGAAGUGUGAUUGAGAUGUCUAAACUUGAUGGAUCCUAUCGGCGAACUUUUCUGAGUGAAGACCUGAACAGGCCCAGAGGAUUGGCAGUUGAUCCUAUUAAGGGGUACCUGUUUGUAAAUGACUUUGAAGAUGGCAAAAUUGAACGAAUCACUCUGGAUGGGAAGGAGAGGAAAGUUCUGGUCAGCUCUGAUCUAGAAUGGCCUGCCGACAUUACCUUAGAUGUGACACAGCAGCGGCUGUUUUGGACAGACUCUGGGAUGAAGAGGAUCGAAUCUAUAACCACAGAUGGAAAAGACCGGAAGUUGCUUGUGGAGGACGCAUUAGCACUCCCUCCAUUCGGCAUCGAUGUGUCAGAGGACAGGAUCUUCUGGACAGACCUGGGGAAUGAAUUCCAUUAUGAGUGCAGAGAAGGACACAGGCAGGAACCCAACAGUAGUCUAUGACCAUAGCUCACACCCAUUGGAUACCCUUUGGUAUUUUAAGCUGAUUGACAAAGACAAACAGCCAGGAACAAGUCCUUGUGGUAUAAACAACGGUGGAUGUAGUCAUUUCUGCCUCAACACGCCGGCUGGUCACACGUGUGCGUGUCCUGAUAGCCUUCAGCUCGACGGAAAUACCUGUAAAACAGGACCAGCCGGAGUGCCGCUGGGUACCGCGGUGGGAGCGGCUGUUGGAGUUGCCGGGAUCAUGGUGCUUCUGAUCGCGGCCGUGGUUCUGUUGAAGAAACGGGGCGGCCUGGCAUUAGGGAGGAAGAAGCGUGAUAACGACACUGGCUGACUGGACAACGACGCGUUCCAGAGUUGGGGAAAGAUGAAUAAGGCUGGCAUUGCUGACACAAAAGCCUAGAGCGUUCUCCUUCCACCAGGACGACAGCUAAACAUACAGAAACGAUGUACAAUUCUUAUAAGCUUACCCCUUAUCAUGACUAGCCUUCUUAGCAGGUUCUACAACUGGGCUUUUGAGGCAGCCUUCAUAUUGCGUUUUUUUUCUUCUGUCAUAUCACUUCUAUUUGUACCUGGGGUCUUUUGGUGGCACAGCUAAGGAGGCUAGAUUUUGACAGGAUUCGUAAUAGCAAAUCUUCUUCAGUUAACUAACCUUAAUCAGCAUACCAAGUAUCAAACCAACAACUGGAAAGGCUCUCCAUCUAUAGUUAGAGACAGGGUAGAAAACUUUAUCACCGUACAUCAAUAGCAUAGG